rnacentral:rRNA from 1 species
GACGAACGCUGGCGGCGUGCUUAACACAUGCAAGUCGAGCGGUAAGGCCCUUUCGGGGGUACACGAGCGGCGAACGGGUGAGUAACACGUGGGUGACCUGCCCUCAGUUCUGGGAUAAGCCUGGGAAACCGGGUCUAAUACUGGAUAUGACCUCAUGACGCAUGUUGUGGGGUGGAAAGCCUUGUGCGACUGAGGAUGGGCCCGCGGCCUAUCAGCUUGUUGGUGGGGUGAUGGCCUACCAAGGCGACGACGGGUAGCCGGCCUGAGAGGGCGACCGGCCACACUGGGACUGAGACACGGCCCAGACUCCUACGGGAGGCAGCAGUGGGGAAUCUUGGACAAUGGGCGCAAGCCUGAUCCAGCCAUGCCGCGUGAGUGACGAAGGUCUUCGGAUUGUAAAACUCUUUGGCGGGGACGAUAAUAGACGGUACCCGCAGAAUAAGCCCCGGCUAACUUCGUGCCAGCAGCCGCCGUAAC